AUUGAACGCUGGCGGCAGGCUUAACACAUGCAAGUCGAGCGGAGAUGAGGUGCUUGCACCUUAUCUUAGCGGCGGACGGGUGAGUAAUGCUUAGGAAUCUGCCUAUUAGUGGGGGACAACAUUCCGAAAGGGAUGCUAAUACCGCAUACGUCCUACGGGAGAAAGCAGGGGAUCUUCGGACCUUGCGCUAAUAGAUGAGCCUAAGUCGGAUUAGCUAGUUGGUGGGGUAAAGGCCUACCAAGGCGACGAGCUGUAGCGGGUCUGAGCGGAUGAUCCGCCGCACUGGGACGGAGACACGGCCCAGGCGCCUACGGGAGGUAGCAGUGGGGAAUAUUGGACAAUGGGGGGAACCCUGAUCCAGCCAUGCCGCGUGUGUGAAGAAGGCCUUAUGGUUGUAAAGCACUUUAAGCGAGGAGGAGGCUACUGAGACUAAUACUCUUGGAUAGUGGACGUUACUCGCAGAAUAAGCACCGGCUAACUCUGUGCCAGCCGCCGCGGUAACAC
rnacentral:rRNA from 1 species